UCGGAUAUGGUGUAGUGGCUAACAUUAUCGCCUCUCACGCGAUAGCCCGGGGUUCAAUUCCCCGUGUCCAAA
rnacentral:tRNA from 1 species